UACGAAGGGGGCUAGCGUUGCUCGGAAUCACUGGGCGUAAAGCGCACGUAGGCGGAUUGGUCAGUUAGGGGUGAAAUCCUGGAGCUCAACUCCAGAACUGCCUUUAAUACUGCCAGUCUCGGGUCCGGAAGAAGUAAGUGGAACUCCUAGUGUAGAGGUGGAAUUCGUAGAUAUUAGGAAGAACACCAGUGGCGAAGGCGGCUUACUGGUCCGGUACUGACGCUGAGGUGCGAAAGCGUGGGGAGCAAACAGG
rnacentral:rRNA from 1 species